GAUGAAGAACGUAGCGAGAUGCGAUAAGUAAUGUGAAUUGCAGAAUUCAGUGAAUCAUCGAAUCUUUGAGCGCACAUUGCGCCCCCUGGUAUUCCGGGGGGCAUGCCUGUUCGAGCGUCAUUUCACCACUCAAGCCUCGCUUGGUAUUGGGCAACGCGGUCCGCCGCGUGCCUCAAAUCGACCGGCUGGGUCUUCUGUCCCCUAAGCGUUGUGGAAACUAUUCGCUAAAGGGUGUUCGGGAGGCUACGCCGUAAAACAACCCCAUUUCUAAGGUUGACCUCGGAUCAGGUAGGGAUACCCGCUGAACUUAAGCAUAUCAAUAAGCGGAGGA
rnacentral:misc_RNA from 1 species